CGGUUGGAUGCUGCCGCCCGCCAACCCAAGAACCCAGAGCAGAAGCCGAGAGGAAAUCCGGGAGAACGCUACCCUCGCGAUGUGAAAGCAAAUCUCCGGCAAUCUUUUUGCGCCAUAAUGACGGGCGCGGACACAAAAACGGGCAAGAGCAGAAAUAGAAACAGAAGUCGCGGCAGAACCGCAUCAGAGUCGGCAUCAGAGCCGGCGUCGGACAACCGGAGUGGGCCGGAGCAGAAGCCGGAAUCGGAAUGCAAAUGAGCGGCAAAAAGUGAACGAAUGCCUAAUGAAGUGAAGUGAAAUGUAAAACGCGACAAAGCAACCAUUGCGGACAAAAAAGUCACCAGAAAGACCAUGUUCAUAUCGUAUCUGGGCAGUAA
rnacentral:sRNA from 1 species